UACGAAGGGUGCAAACGUUGCUCGGAAUUAUUGGGCGUAAAGCGCACGUAGGCGGCUUAGCAAGUCGGAUGUGAAAUCCCUCGGCUCAACCAAGGAAGUGCAUCCGAAACUGCUGAGCUUGAGUACUUAAGAGGAUCGCGGAAUUCCCGGUGUAGAGGUGAAAUUCGUAGAUAUCGGGAGGAACACCAGUGGCGAAGGCGGCGACCUGGGAAGAUACUGACGCUGAGGUGCGAAAGCGUGGGGAGCAAACAGG
rnacentral:rRNA from 1 species